UUCUUUCCUCCCGAGUGCUUGCACUCAAUUGGAAAGAGGAGUGGCGGACGGGUGAGUAACACGUGGGUAACCUACCCAUCAGAGGGGGAUAACACUUGGAAACAGGUGCUAAUACCGCAUAACAGUUUAUGCCGCAUGGCAUAAGAGUGAAAGGUGCUUUCGGGUGUCGCUGAUGGAUGGACCCGCGGUGCAUUAGCUAGUUGGUGAGGUAACGGCUCACCAAGGCCACGAUGCAUAGCCGACCUGAGAGGGUGAUCGGCCACACUGGGACUGAGACACGGCCCAGACUCCUACGGGAGGCAGCAGUAGGGAAUCUUCGGCAAUGGACGAAAGUCUGACCGAGCAACGCCGCGUGAGUGAAGAAGGUUUUCGGAUCGUAAAACUCUGUUGUUAGAGAAGAACAAGGACGUUAGUAACUGAACGUCCCCUGACGGUAUCUAACCAGAAAGCCACGGCUAACUACGUGCCAGCAGCCGCGGUAAUACGUAGGUGGCAAGCGUUGUCCGGAUUUAUUGGGCGUAAAGCGAGCGCAGGCGGUUUCUUAAGUCUGAUGUGAAAGCCCCCGGCUCAACCGGGGAGGGUCAUUGGAAACUGGGAGACUUGAGUGCAGAAGAGGAGAGUGGAAUUCCAUGUGUAGCGGUGAAAUGCGUAGAUAUAUGGAGGAACACCAGUGGCGAACGCGGCUCUCUGGUCUGUAACUGACGCU
rnacentral:rRNA from 1 species